GCAAUACUGAAACUAAUACUUUUGGUGUCCAACAUUAAGGUAAGAUUUUCUCUCUGUAGACGAAAUCAAUUGAUCAGGACCAUGAACCAAAGAAUAUUAAUUAAACUAGGAAGGUUCUCACAGGCAAACAAUCUCCACCAAGAAAGUUCUUGAACUGUAUUGUUUGUCAUUACAAAAUCAGCUUUCUUCAGUAGGUAUGCAAAAUUUUAUCGUUACAAAUGAGAAUUUUUAGGGAAGCACUAAAUCAGUUAGAAUAUAGAGAUUCUGCUGUAUCUUCUAUUUCACUAAGGCAUCAUGAGUAAGCUUAGAAAACCAUUUUAAUUGUCUAUGCAGCUUUUCUUUCUUUUUUGUGUAAGAAGAUCUGAGAGGGAUUAAAAUCUUGAUUUAGAUGGACCAGCCUGUUUGCUAUUAUGUAAAGGUCAUCUGGAUAUAAUAGUCUAUAUUUAGGAGUUCAAAUGAGAAAACUUCUGAGUAUAUAUAUUUGUUUCCUCCUCAAGUUUAUCAUUCCCCAACUUCUCAUUCAAAUUUUAGAUUGAUGCAGUCAAAUGUUGAAAUACAUUGGCAUCAUGCUUUGUAUUAG
rnacentral:lncRNA from 1 species